CAGUAUGAUGAAAAACAGGAGAGGCAGCCCCAGAUUGACCAGAGAAUGAUGAAGUUAAUGGUCGCCCAGUGCCAUCAGGAA
rnacentral:snoRNA from 1 species